UUAACCGGAUUAGAUACCCUGGUAGUCCACGCCGUAAACGAUGUCGACUUGGAGGUUGUGCCCUUGAGGCGUGGCUUCCGGAGCUAACGCGUUAAGUCGACCGCCUGGGGAGUACGGCCGCAAGGUUAAAACUCAAAUGAAUUGACGGGGGCCCGCACAAGCGGUGGAGCACGUGGUUUAAUUCGAUGCAACGCGAAGAACCUUACCUGGUCUUGACAUCCACGGAAGUUUUCAGAGAUGAGAAUGUGCCUUCGGGAACCGUGAGACAGGUGCUGCAUGGCUGUCGUCAGCUCGUGUUGUGAAAUGUUGGGUUAAGUCCCGCAACGAGCGCAACCCUUAUCCUUUGUUGCCAGCGGUCCGGCCGGGAACUCAAAGGAGACUGCCAGUGAUAAACUGGAGGAAGGUGGGGAUGACGUA
rnacentral:rRNA from 1 species